GACGAACGCUGGCGGUGUGCUUAACACAUGCAAGUCGAGCGAUGAAGCUCCUUCGGGAGUGGAUUAGCGGCGGACGGGUGAGUAACACGUGGGUAACCUGCCUCAUAGAGGGGAAUAGCCUUUCGAAAGGAAGAUUAAUACCGCAUAAGAUUGUAGUACCGCAUGGUACAGCAAUUAAAGGAGUAAUCCGCUAUGAGAUGGACCCGCGUCGCAUUAGCUAGUUGGUGAGGUAACGGCUCACCAAGGCGACGAUGCGUAGCCGACCUGAGAGGGUGAUCGGCCACAUUGGGACUGAGACACGGCCCAGACUCCUACGGGAGGCAGCAGUGGGGAAUAUUGCACAAUGGGGGAAGCCCUGAUGCAGCAACGCCGCGUGAGUGGUGACGGUCUUCGGAUUGUAAAGCUCUGUCUUUAGGGACGAUAAUGACGGUACCUAAGGAGGAAGCCACGGCUAACUACGUGCCAGCCGCCGCGGUAA
rnacentral:rRNA from 1 species